UCUAAUAGACAAAGAAAGUUCUGAUAAUUAUGCAUUACUUUGCUAUAUAAAACCUGUAUUAAACGCAAUGCGAAAAUUAACCAAAUUUUUUUAAAAUUUAUCAGUUCGACCUGAAAUCCUGUUAAUACUUCAACAACCACACGUUUCGCGUAGAUCUUAUUGCCAAUCGUCGGCAUUUUUCGCUUAGUAUAUCAUUAUUAUUAUUAUAUUUAUUAGUAUAAUUAUGACACUUUUUAAGAAAAUUGCAUUGAAUGCAUCAUCAUUAUUGAAUUUUUGCCGUGUUGCCCUAAUUUAUUUUGUGCACUUAUGCAUAUAUGAGUUUAUUUAUUUAUGUUCUGAUUGAUCCAUACAGUUACAGAUAUUAUAAUCAUUUUCUGACUAUUCGUUAUUACUAGAACAUUAGACUCGCAAACUGCCGCUUCUCAGUGCAUUUAGAAAUCAUUUCACUUCAAUAGAACACUUUCGAAUAUAGGAAUCAUUUGUCUAAGGUGUAAGUAUCAAUUAAACAAACUAAAAGGAUAAAAAACCUGGGGUCACGAAAAGGUAACAGCGACCAACAACAGAUGACACAGCGAAGUCACGUAUACGGGACAGCGGCCGUCAAACAUUUCAAAACAUGUUAAAAAUGAAUCAUAUAUUAAUUGUUCUAGAGCCAACAGUGUUAACAGUUCAGGAACUAAGUAAAGAAAGUGCUAAUUUAAUGACUACAGAAGGAACAAUUCUAUGUUUUCAGUAAACUAAAAUACAUAAAUACUAAACUGCCACUAAAUUUAUUAGAAGUAGUAAAAAGUGAAAUUGAGAAACGGAGAAAUAAAAACAUUUUAUCAUUCUUUGUAUUUUUACAUUGGUGAUUAUAUCUCCAUACAAAUGAAUUUUGAGUUAUUCAUCCAAACAUGUAGUGAAAAAUUGUGCAAAACAGCUAUUUAAAAGAUUGUUCAUUGAGAAAGAAAGAAAUGAAGAUCAAAUUGUUAAUUGUGAAUCAGAAUCAGAGAGUGAAAUAAAAACAGAUGAAAUAAAAGAAUAUGAAAACUUACAAAACAGCAUCAAAAGUUAAAAUGAAUUAAAACAAAUCAAAUGCAGAAGAUUCGAUAUAGACAAAGAGUUUUAAAGUGUUGAAGGAAAGGAAGGAAAGAGAAGUAACAAUAUGGAUAUUUUAUGCAAUGCUUUAUUGACUAUAUAGACCAAUAUCAAUAUCUUGCAAAAGAGUUUUUCUGUUUUAGGAAACACUAUUACAAAAAUUUGCAGCCGAUUGAGUAUUAAGACGUUAUUAAGACACUGGUCUUCCUAAAGAAUCAUUUUACCAAACAAAGUUAAAACCAAGACAUUUAAAAAUUAUGAAGUUAUGGAUGCAUACUACAUCAUAGAAGUUUUUCUUUUUUAGUAACAAAAACUAAAAUUUUAUCAAACUCAAGCUCAAAAAUGCAUACUUUUUUAAAAGGAGGCAAGAGAGCAGGGAAAAUCACCAAUGUCAUUCUCUUCUUCAUUGCAAAAGGCAAUAUGCUUCUAUCAAAAUUUCGGAUGUUAGUGAUACCGGAGUACCUGAAUAAAGAAGUUAGGAGCGAAAGGCCAAAGUUAAUAGCGCAGAUUAGAUGUGGAAACAUAGAGAAAUGGAACAAAUAACGGUAAGACAAUAAUAAGAAAUAAUUUGUAGAAAAAGGAAAGAAUGAAUGGACGAGAUAUUUGUAACAUUGCAAAAAGUAUUAUAAACCAACUCCUUUCUUGGCUUUGAAGCCGAAAUAAAAAAAAUAUAUUAUAUUCAAAUAAAACUGUUCAAAUAAAACAACUGAUCUUUCACCUUAACUGCAGAAACUCAUGUAUGAUUCAUUACAUACAGCAUUAAUUUCUAAAUACAUCGCAUAUAAAAACCUAUAUAUUAACAGCAUUCUUUUUGAGAAUAUGUUAAUGUUUUUUCUGACUUUUAUUAUGAAAGAUGUUUCACACAAAAGGUGAAGUUUGAGAUUGAAAAUUUAUUUAUAAUUAUUAAAUUGCAAAAAAUUGUAAUCAGUAAUUUUAAAAGCAUAUUUUUGUUAAAAGUAUGUUUCUAUGAUUCAUAUUUUGAACCUUAUAGGGAAAAAUGCAAGGCAAUACUUUUUAUUUAUGUGCUUCCUAUCUUUCAUACACUAAAUUUGACAAAAUCACAGUUAAGAUAUUUUUCAAAUUAGUAGUAAUAAUUAAACUAUAAUCUUGAUGUAAUUAUAAGAAUCAUGGAACGAUUUAAGAUUUUAACUGAUAAUUCUUACAUACAGAAGCUAUAUUUUUUGUCCAUGUUGAUGAUGUCCUAAUUGCUUCUUAAGUAGUAUUUGCAUACCUUUCUGAAUCAUCAAAUAACCAAAAAAUUUUACCACUAAUUUACAAAAUAGCAUUUAAUUGUGUUGAUCACUAUUUUAUACAUUCUCAAGCAUAUGCAAAAGUCUCAAGCAACAUUUUUGUCUGUUUUAAAUAUUCUUCUGAUAAAGCAAUGUAAGCGAUAUACACACGCAUUAAAUUUAACAACCUAAGGUUAAAAUAUCUGGUAAACUAAUAACUUUUCGAUACAAAUAGGCUAAUACUUUCGUAUAGGAAAUGACAAGCUGCAUAUAUUAGUGCAUUAAAAAAAUGCAUAAUACCAUUUAAUACGUUGACUCUGCCACGACACCCGUAUUCGGGUGUCAGCAAAGUUGUUUUCUUCAAAUUCUUUUGUGUCUUUGUUCGGUCCAUUCGACGUCUUUUAUUUGCAUAACAUAGUUUGCAUGCGCGUCAAAUGCUUCUUCCAGAAUCAUUUUUCCGAACGAUAUUAUGCUGACUCCGUCAAAGACAAGGAUUUUUUGUAUUUUCAGACAACCCUAAUAAUUUUGCAACUAACAAUUGUCUAAAUAUUCUAAUAUUUAUAUGUUUUCUUGUUGCAAUUUUGUAAACCGUCAAAGCGUUUACAACAGAAAUUCCCAGAAAGCAUUAAAUGCCAAGUUUUCUGUACCAUUUGAUUUUCCUUUUCUAAUUGUGGUGGCAUAAGAAACCAUUUGGUCGGAACAAUUUAUACCACACUUUCCUUCAUUAUAUUCAACAACAGCUAGUGGUUUUAAUAUUGCGAACAAAUGAAACGAAAGAUCAUUCUUGAGACCACCACUUGAGCGAUUCGCAUUACUAAAAUAUCGAUGGGAGCACCUAGCAGAGAACGCUUGGUACUGCUGUACGCGUGGCCUGACGGAGAUUUCUUUGAAAACACGCGUGGCAAUCAACGUGUUAAAAAAUCAAAGUUGUUCUUUAUAGGUCCUUAAUGCGUCCAUCUACAAAAAAUCUAAUAGUACCAGAAUAUGUACUCUUCGAAACCAUUCAACAUCUAUCCAAACAUUUAUCGCUGAAAAUAGUGACAAUCACGUAAAUCGAAGUGGUAAUAUCUGGUGAAUCACCCUGUAUAUUCAGCCUGUAUAUAUCACACCAUCUUGAUCACCGACUAAGAACAACUAGACUUACAGUGGCUCAUGUAACAAUAUUCGAACAAGCCUUAAAAUAGAAUAAUCGCUUUAAAAUUGGUCUGAACGACUUGAAUUUUUCGAAAAGUUCGAAACAUUAGAUUAUUAGAUGACAUGCAAAAAAAUAUUGAAAAUAUUGCAAUUGGCAUAACUGUCUCGUCCUCAACAAACUUAAUCUUCGAAUCAACGAUGUUUAAGUAUUAAUCCAAUAGCACGUAAUUACGUAUCGUGCCUUUUUUGUUCACACUAUCUGCUUUGACUAUGUUUUACUAUGAAAAAAUUGCAUUUCUGAGUCACUACAAACGGCUGUUGAUUCAUGCUUCAUUGCCUUGAAUGCUUUACUCGAAGCUUAUCGGGUUUCUCAUAUCAUCUUAUACUUUAUGAAAAUAUAUGCUAUCUAGUAUAAUUUAUGGGUUGAUCAAUACAACAACAUUUUCAUACCUUUCACUGUUGGAUCUUCCUGAAAAGCAUCAUCACCAACUUCAGCACUGGAUAGUGCUUCUCUCAUCUUUUGGGUUGGUUUUGUUAAAGUAUCACUCCGAAGAUCAACAACUACUACCUGGAAA